GAAGCAAAGUCAACAGGGUGCCGCGGCCGUCGAUCCAGCGCCGCGAGGACGCAAAGGUUAAAACUGGUACAAGAACUGCAUAUAGACCUGCCCUGCUGUUUGGCAAGUUCAUGCAGACUGCAAUGGGAAGGCAAAUCAGACUUCCACCUGUGAGAAGAGCUAAUGAAAGCAGCGCGUCUGGAGCCUACCCUGCCUGGGACAUGCAUUAGGGAGUCCUCUCCUGGAAGAUUUUGGACUCAUCAACUCAACAGACCUGUCAAUCUGCAAAGAAAUUAUGACCUCCCCCAGCAUCUCCUUCCUCUCAAAACAAAACAACCCCCCUCCACACCCAAAACAAAAGUAUUUUUUUCAAAUCUGACCCCCCAUAAACCUCCAAAAUCAUUGGGCCAGAUUCUCAGCUGAUACAAAUCAGCAUAGCUCCACUGAAGUCAAUGGAGGAUCUGUCUCUUUAUGUAAUUUUUUUAAGAAAAGAGACAAGUUUAUGAUCAGCAUUUCAAAACUGUGAAAGUUAUGCUUGCGUGACCUAAAUAGACCACUAGAGCCAUCAGAUUAAGCAUAGUCGUGCAAUUCAAAGUGCAGUAUUGCAUGGGUUUCUGAGUUUAGCUAAUUACAUUUUAUCAGCAUGUUUUAAAGCUCCCAUGUGGCUCCAGUUCAGCUGUACAUACAAUUUAUACAAUAGUUUUACUGUUCCACUGAGUGAGCUCUCUGGAUGUGACACUCUGUAGCUAAAAGUAGCACCCUGGAACCACCAUAUUCACCACUGUGAUAGGAUUCUGAUGUAUUAUGAUUACAAAAUAUGCCUUGUGAGGUAUUAUUUUCAAGUACUGAUUUGCUGAAUAAUAAUAUCCUGUUAGAUUAUAUAUACUAUCAUUGUAUUAUGAGGUAUUU